GUGGAUGAGCACUCCAGCUGUCGCUAUGAUGGUCUACCUGAGAGAUGCCCACUGGAGCUGAGAAAGAUGGAGUGGGGUGAGCAACACACCAGCUGUCUCCGUCAUGGUCUGGCUCAGACAUAAUCAGUGGAGCUGAGAAAAGUGGAGUAGCUAGCCUAAUACAACUAAUUAUUUACCUUGGAAGCUGGGGAGACUCUCACACCAGGUCUGUUGUUGGUCUUCCGUGUCCCUUUGUUGCUGAUUGACACAUGCUGUUGACAAAUGGGGGAAUCAUUAAUGGCAUUCCAUAUGCUAAAAUUAAAAAUCACCUUUAAAAAUGGGUACACUGGUGAUUCUUAGAAUUUAUUCACACAAAAUAGGACCAAGCAGUGCAGCUGUAUGCUUCAACAAUUGGAUAGUUGUAACUUUUAUUAAACAAUGUA